UACGUAGGGGGCGAGCGUUGUCCGAAGUUACUGGGCGUAAAGCGCGCGUAGGCGGGUUGGUAAGUCCGCUGUGAAAGCCCGGAGCUUAACUCCGGAGGGUCGGUGGAUACUGCCAGUCUUGAAGGUGCUAGGGGGAGAUGGAAUUACCGGUGUAGCGGUGAAAUGCGUAGAUAUCGGGAGGAACACCAGUGGCGAAGGCGACUACCUGGCCUGUUCUUGACGCUGAGGCGCGAAAGCUAGGGGAGCAAACGGG
rnacentral:rRNA from 1 species